rnacentral:rRNA from 1 species
AUUGAACGCUGGCGGCAUGCUUUACACAUGCAAGUCGAACGGCAGCGGGGGCUUCGGCCUGCCGACGAGUGGCGAACGGGUGAGUAAUGCAUCGGAACGUGCCCAUGUCGUGGGGGAUAACGUAUCGAAAGGUACGCUAAUACCGCAUACGUCCUGAGGGAGAAAGCGGGGGAUCUUCGGACCUCGCGCGAUUGGAGCGGCCGAUGUCGGAUUAGCUAGUAGGUGAGGUAAAGGCUCACCUAGGCGACGAUCCGUAGCGGGUCUGAGAGGAUGAUCCGCCACACUGGGACUGAGACACGGCCCAGACUCCUACGGGAGGCAGCAGUGGGGAAUUUUGGACAAUGGGCGCAAGCCUGAUCCAGCCAUGCCGCGUGAGUGAAGAAGGCCUUCGGGUUGUAAAGCUCUUUCGGCCGGGAAGAAAUCGUGUUCUCUAACAUAGGACAUGGAUGACGGUACCGGACUAAGAAGCACCGGCUAACUACGUGCCAGCCGCCGCAGUAAAAC